rnacentral:rRNA from 1 species
CCUACGGGAGACAGCAGUCGAGAAUCAUUCACAAUGGGGGAAACCCUGAUGGUGCGAAGCCGCGUGGGGGAAUGAAGGUCUUCAGAUUGUAAACCCCUGUCAUGUGGGAGCAAAUUAAAAAGAUAGUACCACAAGAGGAAGAGACGGCUAACUCUGUGCCAGCAGCCGCGGUAAUACAGAGGUCUCAAGCGUUGUUCGGAAUCACUGGGCGUAAGGCGUGCGUAGGCUGUUUGUUAAGGCGUGUGUGAAAGGCGCGGGCUCAACCCGCGGACGGCACAUGAUACUGCGAGACUAGAGUAAUGGAGGGGGAACCGGAAUGCUCGGUGGAGCAGUGAAAUGCGUAGAUAUCGAGAGGAACACUCGUGGCGAAGGCGGGUUCCUGGACAUUAACUGACGCUGAGGCACGAAGGCCAGGGGAGCGAAAGGGAUUAGAUACCCGGGUAGUC